rnacentral:tRNA from 1 species
GACCGCGUAGCUCUGUUGGCAGAGCAUUGGGCUAGUAUUCCAAAGGUCGUAGGUUCGAUUCCCACCGUGGCCA